CCUGACUGCUAUCGGAUUGGUACUAAGCCAUGCGAGUGAUCGUAGCAAUACGACGCAGACGGCUCAGUAACACGUAGUCAACCUAACUCGUGGACGUGGAUAAUCUCGGGAAACUGAGGAUAAACCGCGAUAGAUAACGGUGCCUGGAAUGGCCCAUUGUCCAAACAGUUUACUGCCACGGGAUGGGACUGCGGCCUAUCAGCUUGUUGGUGAGGUAAUGGCCCACCAAGGCUAUAACAGGUACGGGCUCUGAGAGGAGAAGCCCGGAGAUGGGUACUGAGACACGGACCCAGGCCCUAUGGGGCGCAGCAGGCGAGAAACCUUAGCAAUGUGCGAAAGCACGACCGGGUCAGUCCGAGUGAUUGCUGAUAAAGUGAUCUUUUGCCCGUCCUAAAAUCUCGGGCGCAUAAGGGGUGGUCAUCUUUGGUGUCACCCUCCGCGAUAACAUAA
rnacentral:rRNA from 1 species